UACGUAGGAGACGAGCGUUGUCCGGAGUUAUUGGGCGUAAAGGGCUCGUAGGCGGUUUGUCGCGUCGGGAGUGAAAAUCCAGGGCUUAACUCUGGACUGGCUUUCGAUACGGGCAGACUAGAGGUAUGCAGGGGAGAACGGAAUUCCUGGUGUAGCGGUGAAAUGCGCAGAUAUCAGGAGGAACACCGGUGGCGAAGGCGGUUCUCUGGGCAUUACCUGACGCUGAGGAGCGAAAGUGUGGGGAGCGAACAGG
rnacentral:rRNA from 1 species